ACUCAAAUGAAUUGACGGGGGCCCGCACAAGCGGUGGAGCAUGUGGUUUAAUUCGAUGCAACGCGAAGAACCUUACCAAGGCUUGACAUCUCGGGAAGUUUCCAGAAACGGAGAUGUGCUCGCAAGAGAACCCGAAGACAGGUGGUGCAUGGCUGUCGUCAGCUCGUGUCGUGAGAUGUUGGAUUAAGUUCCGCAACGAGCGCAACCCUCGUGAAAUGUUGCCAGCAGUUCGGCUGGGCACUCAUUUCAGACUGCCGUAGUAAUGCGGAGGAAGGUGAGGAUGACGUCAAGUCAGCAUGCCCCGUACGCCUUGGGCUACACACAUGCUACAAUCCUGGGGGCAAACGGUCGCUAUCCCGUGAGGGCUCGCUAAUCCGAAAAGACCCAGGUCAGUGCGGAUUGUAGGCUGCAACUCGCCUACAUGAAGUCGGAAUCGCUAGUAACCGUCGGUCAGCAUUACGACGGUGAAUACGUUCCCGGGCCUUGUACACACCGCCCGU
rnacentral:rRNA from 1 species